UAAUGUUUGUCCCUCUUGACAAGGCUUGC
rnacentral:piRNA from 1 species